rnacentral:tRNA from 1 species
AGAGACCAAAAGACAGGCUUGAAGCUUGUCAGGCGUCCGCACAAGUGACCUGCAUCCAGGAGUUCCACGGCAUAAGCCGGGGGACCGACCCCUUUUGGGGCCAUAGCUCAGCUGGGAGAGCACCUGCUUUGCAAGCAGGGGGUCGUCGGUUCGAUCCCGACUGGCUCCACCAUCUGGCAAUGAAGCAUUGGGUCUGUAGCUCAGGUGGUUAGAGCGCACCCCUGAUAAGGGUGAGGCCGGUGGUUCGAGUCCUCCCAGACCCACCAUCCUGGAUGUCGACAGCGCACACAAAGAUCAAGUUGGGUUUCGGUACUGUGGCCGGGACCCUGCUCUUUGAAAAAAUGGGACGUAGCGAGCGUUUGAGACGAAUAUCCAAACGUGUCGUAGAGGCUAAGGCGAGGUGUCGAGAGGCACCUUUAUUGAAGUUGUAGUUCGUUGUGUUCGCAACGACAUUAACUCCGAGGCGACUUGGGGUUAUAU